UUUGAUUUUCCUGACUUGUGGAGAAGCUUUCCCUCAUCAAGCAACUGUGGGCAUGCAGAGUAAGACCUUUGUUAAAUGGAUAACUUUCAGGAGGACACAGAAUCAGCAGAAACAAUGGAAUUUUCAUUACUGUGGCAUAUUUUUAAGGUUAAAAAGGUGUUUAGCAAUAAAAUUCCACUGAACUACAGUUGUAUUUAACUGCUCUUCUCCAGGAAUACCAAAGGAAACAUAAAAAAUAGAAUGGGUUUCAUGGCUUGUGUAAAAUGUUUUACUUCUGGGUUUCAUUUCUUAAAAAAGCCUUCCACAUCUGCUAGGUGCUGACAAAUCAAAUCCUCCAUCUAACUAUAGCCACCAUGUGGAACCUGUGGCUAUGUUUAUGACCCCAGCAGCUUCUGCUCCAGGAUAAUUGUGAAGAUCAGCCAAAAAGAUGAGUAAAUGAUAUAAAGUUGACAAACUGUAAGACAAUUGAAAUACCAUAAAAAACACCAGGCUGGUCUGGCUAGAAGAAGAAAUCUUGUAUUCAGACUGAACAAAACCCUAGGAUCCCAGGACAAGCAGGUGCUCAGUGGGAGAUACAGGACCUUCUUGGGCAUCAAGAGAUUUAAUCUUUGAUCUGUUCAAAGUUUGACCCGUCUGGGCCUCUGUUUCCUCAUUUAUAAUAAUGAAGAAAACUGGAUGAUUUCUGAGGCCCCAUUCUACGUUUCUACAAUGGCUUGUGUUAUUUUAAAGGCACAGAGUGAAGAAAUUACGAGUCAUACAGCUGAAGUAUGCACAGAAAAGAUUUCAACCUCAAAUAAAAUCUGGAACUGAAGUUUCACUCCCCUCAUGGAACAAAUGUAUCAAGACUUGGUCAGAACUGAAGGCCAGAACACUUUCAAAAGUGAAGGGGUACAAGCUCAGGAAUGUUAGGUGUUAAGAUCCCUUACCAUACUUUACCAUAUAUGGUCUUGUUUAAAGUUCUUCCAAUCAAGACCUACCCACCAGCACUUCUGCAUACCAGCCUGCUCUCUCUAACCCAGAAAACUUGCCCCAGACUCCAGAAUGGGGAGAUGGAAUUGAGCUUUGUCUCCUGCCUCCUCGCCGCCAACCCCACAAUAAAACCUUUUUUUUUCUUAAAAA